CGGGGCAGAUAGUUUUAAAGCUGAGCAGUCCGCUGCGAGGUGCGUGUGCCUUGUUUCCUUUACUGUAUGUUGGCUGCCCAAGUGGCUGGUGUGCUCGAUCCACUCAUCCAAAAUACGUUGCGCAGCUGGCGUUGGCGGCUGCAGGUGGAGGUUGGUGCGGCGAGCGGCUUCCAUCCAGCCCUCGCCUGCUGAUCCGCUCCCUCCCUGUUCGGCUGUGUCACCACAUCUGGGAUUCUUUCGGAGUUGCAGCGCUUGGACGCUCCUGCUGUCUUGUCUUGUCUUGUCGGUUUUGUUUGGGCCGCUCUCGACGGAGCCUGCUGACGCUUGGGCUGGCCGAACGAGCGGGGCACGACUCCUCUGGCCCCGUCAAAGGACAUUAGAAGUCGGACAACGACAAUUUGUCCCAUCGUUUGCAGUGGUUGUGUUCUUUUCUUUGCCGUUGGUUUGCUUAUUAUUUAAAUUACUAAUUUGUUUGCUUUCCUUUGUUUUGAUUUACUAAUUUGUUUUCUUUUGCAUUGCAUGUUUUGUUUAAUUCAUUUUUUGGGAAUAAUUUAAAUUGUCCUUAUUUUGAUGCCUUUUCCUUCUAGGGGCUGAGUAGUGGGUCUGAGGCCAUGUUUUAAAAGAAAAAUGUUUUAAUGAAAUUGGUUAAUAAAUCAUUGUAGACUACUCCGUGCU